rnacentral:rRNA from 1 species
GCGCUUUAAAAUUAGUCUAGUCGCGCUGGCCGCACGGACUUCUGCUCUGAUAAGCAAUGACAAACGGGUGCCCCUUGUGUCGGAAUCCGCCCGGUAGGGGGGGAUAACGUUUCGAAAGCAAAGCUAAUACCGCCUACGCCCUACUGGAGAAAGUGGGGGAUCGCCGUACCUCGCCCUACCUCCCAGCCUAUGUCGGAUUAGCUAGUUGGUGGGGUAACGGCUCACCAAGGCGACGAUCCGUAUCUGGUUUGAGAGGACGACCAGCCACACUGGGACUGAGACUCGGCCCAGACUCCUACGGGAGGCAGCAGUGGGGAAUUUUGGACAAUGGGGGAAACCCUGAUCCAGCCAUGCCGCGUGUGCGACGAAGGCCUUCGGGUUGUAAAGCACUUUUGGCUGGAAGGAAAGGCACCGGGUUAAUACCCCGGGGAUUUGACGUUACCUGCAGAAUAAGCACCGGCUAACUACGUGCCAGCAGCCGCGGUAAUACGAAGGGUGCAAGCGUUAAUCGGAAUUACUGGGCGUAAAGCGUGCGCAGGCGGUUCGGAAAGAAGGAUGUGAAAUCCCAGAGCUCACUUGGGAACUGCAUCUUUAACUGCCGAUCUAGAGUGUGGGCAGAGGGGAGGUGGGAAUUUCGUGUGUAGUGUGAAAUGCUUAUAUAUGAGGAGGAACACCAUGGCGAAAGGCGCCUCCUGGGGAUAACACUUGACACUGAGGACGAAAGCGUGGGAGCAAACAGGGAUUAGAUACCCUUGGAAUUCCACACCC